rnacentral:rRNA from 1 species
GACGAACGCUGGCGGCGUGCUUAACACAUGCAAGUCGAACGGAAAGGCCCCCUUGUGGGGUACUCGAGUGGCGAACGGGUGAGUAACACGUGAGUAACCUACCCUUGACUAUGGGAUAACUUCAGGAAAAUGGGGCUAAUACCGGAUAGGAGCUCCUGCUGCAUGGUGGGGGUUGGAAAGUUUCGGCGGUUGGGGAUGGACUCGCGGCCUAUCAGCUUGUUGGUGGGGUAGUGGCUCACCAAGGCGUUGACGGGUAGCCGGCCUGAGAGGGUGACCGGCCACAUUGGGACUGAGAUACGGCCCAGACUCCUACGGGAGGCAGCAGUGGGGAAUAUUGCACAAUGGGCGGAAGCCUGAUGCAGCAACGCCGCGUGCGGGAUGACGGCCUUCGGGUUGUAAACCGCUUUCGCCUGUGACGAAGCGUGAGUGACGGUAAUUGGUAAAGAAGCACCGGCUAACUACGUG